rnacentral:lncRNA from 1 species
CAGACUGCUGUGCUAGCAAUCAGCGAGACUCCGUGGGCGUAGGACCCUACGAGCCAGGUGUGGGAUGUAAUCUCAUGAGCUGGUAUACGAUGCCUCUCCAGAAUCACCUUGUUCUUUCUGGAUCUAUUCAGAAUCUGAAACUCCUAGAAAAGAAAAAUGCAAGAUGCAUGAGUUGAGACAGGAUCUCACUAUGUUGCCUUGCAUGGACUGGAACUCCUUGGCUCAAGAAAUCUUCUUGCCUCAGCCUCCCAAAUAGCUAGGACUAUAUGCACAUGCUACUACACCUAGUGGAAAAUGAAGCACAGAGAAGUUCAGUGAUGGACCUCAGAUACUACCAGCAGAAAGCAGAAGAGCUAGGAUUUCAACUUAGGAUGUCUGGAUCCACAGUCUGCACUCCUACCCACUAUGCUACACUGCCUCUAACUAUGAGGAAGCAAGGGCAUUUUUUUUUUUCUGGUGACUAAAAAGAUAAGAGUUCAAGUAUGUGGCUCCUGAUAAUCUAACUUAUACAGCCUGGAAAAAUUGAUAGUUACUAUAUCCAGACUGUCUCAUUCAAUUAACAGUUUCUCAAGUAAUCUUCUAGUUACUGUCGUAUUUUAUCUGUAUCAACUUAGCAAACCAAGUCCAAAACAUUUUAUAUGUGUCUAUCUUUCCUGCUGUUCAUAUUAUUGAGUUAGCCAAAUAAAUUCAAUUUUUUUUCUACUGUUUGUUUCUCACAAAUUAUGACUGGCAUCUGUAUAUCUGGGAAGGUUCUACUGCAUUGCUGUAUUAUCACUAUAUAAUUAUAAGAGAUCACAGAGUGCAUUGAUGAAGGCCAUGUUGAGACAUGAUGAAACAGGGUCCAUUGUGACUGGGUGAAACUGUCUUCAAUUUCCUGGUCUAUAAAGCAGAGAAUCUGUAGCUCACAGAAUGGCUGGUAGCACCCACCAGGAUCUGGGACAUUCAGCCUGAGAAAUAAAAAACUCAUCAGGAUCUGUGAAAGACAUGAAGACAGAAAUAGUACUAGAAGAAAGAAAAUGCUUAGAAGUCAUAUGCAGCAAUAAAGAACUUGGCUUGAGAGGUCAUUCCAAGAUGGUCGAAUAGGAACAGCUCCCAUCUGCAGCUCCCAGCGUGAUCGAUGCAGAAAACGGGAGGUCUGACUUCAGUGAAGAUCCAAAGGCAGAGGCCCCACAGGAGUCCUUCUGCUCCCUGGAGACA